rnacentral:lncRNA from 1 species
GACAAAGGGAGCCAGGCGGGGAAAACAGUAAUUGGAGAGGAGACCGUGCUUCCAGUCUGUUGCUGGUUUACAAGGACAAUCUAUGCAGGAAGAAUGAAUGGGUGAUGCUGGCAUCUUGAAAAGUUGAAGCUGAUAGACUGAAGAAUGCGGAUUACAUACCCUGAGGCUGCAGAGGAGCAGCCAAGAAGAUGGUGGAUUGAGACUGAGCAUGCCUACCACAAGCAGCUGACCAUCAUUCAAAGCAAGAAGAGGGUCCUGCUAAAGGAAACUGGCAAGAAGCAGCUCCUAUGGUACUUACAAGAACAUCGAUCUAGGCUUCAAGAGGUCCAAAGAGACUAUUGAGGGCACCUACAUUGACAAGGAAUGCCUGUUCACUGGUAACGUCUCCAUCUGAGGGCAGAUCCUGUAUGGCAUGGUGACCAAGAUGGAGAUGCAGAGGACCACUGUCAUCCAGAGAAACUAUCUCCACUACAUCCGCAAGUACAAUUGCUUCGAGAAGUACCACAAGAACAUGUCCAUGCACCUGUUCCCCUGCUUCAGGAUGUCCAGAUCAGCGACAUUGUCACGCUGGAUAAGUGCCGGUCCCUGAACAAGACGGUGUACUUCAAUGUGCUCAAGGUCACCAAGGUCGCAGACAUCAAGAAGCAAUUCCAGAAGUUCUGAGGCUGAAUGUCUGCCUGCUCCCCAAAAUAAAAUAAAGUUAUUUUCUCAUUCAUACACACAAAAAAUGACUAAUAGGUAAGAUAACCACACAAACUUAAUACACAACAAAAACAUAUUAAAACAUAUUAAUGCAAUUAGAGAUUUAAAAAAAAAACUAGCAAGCUGUGUCAAAG